rnacentral:rRNA from 1 species
CGACGUGGGUAACCUGCCCUAUACACAUGGAUAACAUACUGAAAAGUUUACUAAUACAUGAUAAUAUAUAUUUACGGCAUCGUAGAUAUAUCAAAGUGUUAGCGGUAUAGGAUGGACCCGCGUCUGAUUAGCUAGUUGGUGAGAUAACUGCCCACCAAGGCGACGAUCAGUAGCCGACCUGAGAGGGUGAUCGGCCACAUUGGGACUGAGACACGGCCCAA